rnacentral:rRNA from 1 species
GAUGAAGCCCUUCCGGGUGUAAACCUCUUUCAGUAGGGAAGAAGCGACUGGGUUCUCUCCAGACGUGACCGGUACCUGCAGAAGAAGCGCCGGCUAACUACGUGCCAGCAGCCGCGGUAAUACGUAGGGGCGCAAGCGUUGUCCGGAAUUAUUGGGCGUAAAGAGCUCGUAGGCGGUUUGUCGCGUCUGGUGUGAAAACUCAAGGCUCAACCUUGAGCUUGCAUCGGGUACGGGCAGACUAGAGUGUGGUAGGGGUGACUGGAAUUCCUGGUGUAGCGGUGGAAUGCGCAGAUAUCAGGAGGAANNNNNAUGGCGAAGGCAGGUCACNNNNNNNNNUACUGACGCUGAGGAGCGAAAGCAUGGGGAGCGAACAGGAUUAGAUACCCUGGUAGUCCAUGCCGUAAACGUUGGGCACUAGGUGUGGGGCUCAUUCCACGAGUUCCGCGCCGCAGCUAACGCAUUAAGUGCCCCGCCUGGGGAGUACGGCCGCAAGGCUAAAACUCAAAGGAAUUGACGGGGGCCCGCACAAGCGGCGGAGCAUGCGGAUUAAUUCGAUGCAACGCGAAGAACCUUACCAAGGCUUGACAUACACCGGAAUCGGCCAGAGAUGGUCGCGUCUUCGGACUGGUGUACAGGUGGUGCAUGGUUGUCGUCAGCUCGUGUCGUGAGAUGUUGGGUUAAGUCCCGCAACGAGCGCAACCCUCGUCCUAUGUUGCCAGCACGUCAUGGUGGGGACUCAUAGGAGACUGCCGGGGUCAACUCGGAGGAAGGCGGNGACGACG